GACGGAGGGUGCAAACGUUGCUCGGAAUCACUGGGCGUAAAGGGCGUGUAGGCGGGAAGGAAAGUCAGAUGUGAAAUCCCUGGGCUCAACCCAGGAACUGCAUUUGAAACUCCCUUUCUUGAGUGUCGGAGAGGAAAGCGGAAUUCCUGGUGUAGAGGUGAAAUUCGUAGAUAUCAGGAGGAACACCGGUGGCGAAGGCGGCAUCCUGGACCAAUACUGACGCUGAGGAGCGAAAGCCAGGGGAGCAAACGGG
rnacentral:rRNA from 1 species